GUUGUAUGGUUAAGUGACUAAGCGUACACGGUGGAUGCCUUGGCAGUCAGAGGCGAUGAAAGACGUAAUAACUUGCGAUAAGCCCAGAUUAGGUAGUAAUAACCUUUUGAGUCUGGGAUUUCUGAAUGGGGAAACCCACGUGCAYAAGCACGUAUCCUGUUGUGAAUACAUAGCAACAGGAGGCAAACCGGGGGAACUGAAACAUCUAAGUACCCCGAGGAAGAGAAAUCAACCGAGAUUCCGAAAGUAGCGGCGAGCGAAAUUGGAUUAGCCCUUAAGCUUUUAAUGAUGCAGGUGAAGAGUCUGGAAAGUSYCGCAAYAAAGGGUGAUAGCCCCGUAAYCGACAYMUCAUAAUCAGUGAAAWCGAGUAGGGCGGGACACGUGAUAUCCUGUCUGAAUAUGGGGGGACCAUCCUCCAAGG
rnacentral:rRNA from 1 species